rnacentral:rRNA from 1 species
UGGGGAAUAUUGCACAAUGGAGGGAACUCUGAUGCAGCGACGCCGCGUGAACGAAGAAGGCUUUCGAGUCGUAAAGUUCUUUUAUAUGGGAAGAUAAUGACGGUACCAUAAGAAGAAGCCCCGGCUAACUACGUGCCAGCAGCCGCGGUAAUACGUAGGGGGCUAGCGUUGUCCGGAAUCACUGGGCGUAAAGGGUUCGCAGGCGGAAAUGCAAGUCAGGUGUAAAAGGCAGUAGCUUAACUACUGUAAGCAUUUGAAACUGCAUAUCGUGAGAAGAGUAGAGGUAAGUGGAAUUUUUAGUGUAGCGGUGAAAUGCGUAGAUAUUAAAAAGAAUACCGGUGGCGAAGGCGACUUACUGGGCUCAUUCUGACGCUGAGGAACGAAAGCGUGGGUAGCAAACAGG